rnacentral:rRNA from 1 species
UACGGAGGGAGCUAGCGUUAUUCGGAAUUACUGGGCGUAAAGCGCACGUAGGCGGCUUUGUAAGUUAGAGGUGAAAGCCUGGAGCUCAACUCCAGAAUUGCCUUUAAGACUGGAUCACUCGAAUACGGGAGAGGUGAGUGGAAUUCCGGGUGUAGAGGUGAAAUUCGUAGAUAUUCGGAAGAACACCAGUGGCGAAGGCGGGUCACUGGACCGGCAUUGACGCUGAGGUGCGAAAGCGUGGGGAGCAAACAGG